rnacentral:misc_RNA from 1 species
CCAGCCACUUGGAGAAGUUGCUGAGUGCUUGUACGUUAAUGGUUUUUUCUGUGUUUGAAGGGCUGUUUAGAUUAUUGCUAAUUGGUUUCUGUUGGUUCCAAUUAAUUUGUAAGAAACACCACAAUGCGUUGGUGAUAUAAUUGUAAAGUUUUUAUUUGUUAUUAGGUUGAUAUUAGUGAAGAGCAUUGGAGAUUUGUGCUUGUUCUGCUCCAGUUGCCUCAUUCUUGUUAGUUACUCCCAACUUGCUUCAAGUCCUUGGUUAGAGAGAAGUGUGAAUUAAA